rnacentral:rRNA from 1 species
CCUACGGGAGGCAGCAGUGAGGAAUAUUGGUCAAUGGGCGCGAGCCUGACCCAGCCAAGUAGCGUGAAGGAUGACUGCCCUACGGGUUGUAAACUUCUUUUAUAAAGGAAUAAAGUGAGGCACGUGUGCCUCUUUGUAUGUACUUUAUGAAUAAGGAUCGGCUAACUCCGUGCCCGCAGCCGCGGUAAUACGGAGGAUGCGAGCGUUAUCCGGAUUUAUUGGGUUUAAAGGGAGCGUAGGUGGGUUGUUAAGUCAGUUGUGAAAGUGUGCGGCUCAACCGUAAACUUGCAGUUGAUACUGGCAGUCUUGAGUACAGUAGAGGUAGGCGGAAUUCGUGGUGUAGCGGGGAAAUGCAUAGAUAUCACGAAGAACUCCGAUCGCGAAGGCAGCUUAC